GUCCUUUGGAGUUUGAUUUAAGGUCUAACCUGCCCACUGAAAUUAAUUUUAAAUGGCCGCAGUAAUUUGACUGUGCAAAGGUAGCAUAAUCAUUAGUUUUUUAAUUAAAAGCUUGUAUGAAAGGUUGGACGAGGUAAAAUCUGUCUCUAUUUAAAAUAAUUUAGAAUUUAACUUUUUAGUUAAAAGGCUUAAAUUUAAUUAAAAGACGAGAAGACCCUAUAGAUCUUUAUAAUUUUUUUUAUAUAUUUAAUUAAGAAUAUUUAGAAUUUUAUAAAAAAAAUUAUUUUAUUGGGGUAAUAUAAAGAUUAAAAUAAUUCUUUUUUAUUAUUAACAUUAAUUGAUGAUUUUAAUGAUCCAUUUUUAUUGAUUAUAAGAUUAAGUUACCUUAGGGAUAACAGCGUAAUUUUUUUAGAGAGUUCAUAUCGAUAAAAAAGUUUGCGACCUCGAUGUUGGAUUAAAGAUUAUUUUAGGUGCAGAAGUUUAAAAUUUUGGUCUGUUCGACCAUUGAAUCUUUACAUGAUCUGAGUUCAGACCGGUGUAAGCCAGGUCGGUUUCUAUCUUUAAUAAUUAUAAAAUAUUUUAGUACGAAAGGACCAAAUAUUUAAUAUAUUAAUAUUUAAAUUUUGAAUAUUAUUAAA
rnacentral:rRNA from 1 species